UACAGAGGUCUCGAGCGUUAGGCGGAAUCACUGGGCUUAAAGCGUGUGUAGGUGGAUGCCUAAGUACCUUGUGAAAUCCCACAGCUUAACUGUGGAACUGCUUGGUAUACUGGGUGUCUUGAGUCACUCAGGGGCGAGCGGAACAAAUGGUGGAGCGGGUGAAAAUGCGUAGAUAUCAUUUGGAACGCCAAUGGGUGAAAACAGCUCGCUGGGGGUGCACUGACACUGAGAACACGAAAGCCAGGGGAGCGAACGGG
rnacentral:rRNA from 1 species